rnacentral:rRNA from 1 species
GACGAACCGUGCAAACGUUGUUCGGAAUCACUGGGCUUAAAGGGCGCGUAGGCGGCUUGCCAAGUCAGGGGUGAAAUCUUUCGGCUUAACCGGAAAAGUGCCUUUGAUACUGGCAGGCUCGAGGGAGGUAGGGGUAUGUGGAACUUCCGGUGGAGCGGUGAAAUGCGUUGAUAUCGGAAGGAACGCCGGUGGCGAAAGCGACGUACUGGACCUCUUCUGACGCUGAGGCGCGAAAGCUAGGGGAGCAAACGGG